rnacentral:rRNA from 1 species
GUGCCAGCCGCCGCGGUAAUACGUAGGUGGCAAGCGUUAUCCGGAAUUAUUGGGCGUAAAGCGCGCGUAGGCGGUUUUUUAAGUCUGAUGUGAAAGCCCACGGCUCAACCGUGGAGGGUCAUUGGAAACUGGAAAACUUGAGUGCAGAAGAGGAAAGUGGAAUUCCAUGUGUAGCGGUGAAAUGCGCAGAGAUAUGGAGGAACACCAGUGGCGAAGGCGACUUUCUGGUCUGUAACUGACGCUGAUGUGCGAAAGCGUGGGGAUCAAACAGGAUUAGAUA